AAAUUUUCUCCUUUCUCCAUCUUCUUUCUUCUGAAAAAAACUAACAAAACAAGUGAAUAUAUUUAAUUUUUUCAGUAUGAUGGAAGGAGAGAAGAGAAAACAGAGGCAACACCAGCAAGAUAAGCCAUACAGAGGAAUACGGAUGAGGAAGUGGGGUAAAUGGGUAGCUGAAAUUCGAGAACCAAACAAACGCUCUCGAAUUUGGCUUGGUUCUUAUUCUUCCCCUGUUGCUGCUGCUCGUGCUUACGAUACCGCUGUAUUUUACUUGCGAGGUCCUUCAGCUAGGCUUAAUUUCCCUGAAUGUAUAGUGGAUGACCAUGAAAUUCACGAUCUAUCAGCUGCUUCUAUUAGAAAGAAAGCUACUGAGGUAGGUGCUCGAGUUGAUGCUCUGCAAACUGCGAUUCACAAUUCUACUGUUAAUUCUGUUGAAUCAAACUGUAAUUCGAAUUCUAAAUCUACAAGGAUGAUGAUGAAGCCUGAUUUGAAUGAAUAUCCUAGCCCGGAAAGUUGCGACGAAGAUAACUGAAUCUCUGCGAGUUAACAGAGGCCAAGAGGGGGAUUAUUUUUAUGUUGAUUAGAUAUACUGAGGAUCCAUGUAUGAAAUAUAAUCCGAAGGGAUUAUAUGUUAAUAUUAUCAAUUAUGAUAGUUAUUAAAGGAAAUUUAAUCUCAAA
rnacentral:misc_RNA from 1 species